rnacentral:tRNA from 1 species
GGGGAUUUAGCUCAGCGGCAUAAGCGCCUGCCUUGCAAGCAGGCAGUCGUGAGUUCGAUUCCUCGUACCA